CUUUGAGUACGUGAGUAAAUAACACGCUCACGUUCUGAUCUGGGCAGCGGCAGGAAAGAUUUUUUUUUUUUUUUUCAGCACGCUGACAGCGCCCAACUGAGCGCGACUCAUUAGAAUGGUUCAGCACCACGGACAGAGAGCCCUUUGCCUAUCUAAUUUUGUCUAAACUAGAUGUCCUGGAUCAAAGAAAUAAUGUAGGAGGGGUCCAUAUGGUCACCUAAACAUUGCCAAGAUGAUCUCUGAGCAUGGAGCCAAGAAUAAGUCCUGUACACCACUGGAUGUGGCCCCCAAACAAACAAACAACCAGAAUUUAACUAUCUUCUGUUCUUGAUCCUGGAGUCUCAAGAUUCUGGUCGCAGAGAGUCUACAUGACAGUACCAGGGAUUGAACCCAGGGCCUCAGACACACAAGUUGUUGGAAAAAAUGGGUGAUAACGAGAGACCGAGAUACCCAAGACUACUGACACAGCGCUUGGCGUUCAUACCCAGCAGUGCCCAGGAGGCUGUGUGGGGCCAUGGAUGGAGCUGAGACCUCCUGGAAAUAAUGCAUAGGUAUGAGUCCUAUGAACUAUCUCCCCUGUCCAGGAUUCACAUUUUUUAUUUUACAUUUUUUUUAAAAAAUGUAAAUUUUAUGCAUCUCUCCUGACUAGAAUUCACAUUUUUAAAAUUCAAAAAUGUAAA